rnacentral:rRNA from 1 species
AUUGAACGCUGGCGGCAGGCUUAACACAUGCAAGUCGAGCGGAGAUGAGGUGCUUGCACCUUAUCUUAGCGGCGGACGGGUGAGUAAUGCUUAGGAAUCUGCCAUUUAGUGGGGGACAACAUUCCGAAAGGAAUGCUAAUACCGCAUACGUCCUACGGGAGAAAGCAGGGGAUCUUCGGACCUUGCGCUAAAUGAUGAGCCUAAGUCGGAUUAGCUAGUUGGUGGGGUAAAGGCCUACCAAGGCGACGAUCUGUAGCGGGUCUGAGAGGAUGAUCCGCCACACUGGGACUGAGACACGGCCCAGACUCCUACGGGAGGCAGCAGUGGGGAAUAUUGGACAAUGGGCGGAAGCCUGAUCCAGCCAUGCCGCGUGUGUGAAGAAGGCCUUUUGGUUGUAAAGCACUUUAAGCGAGGAGGAGGCUACUGAGACUAAUACUCUUGGAUAGUGGACGUUACUCGCAGAAUAAGCACCGGCUAACUCUGUGCCAGCAGCCGCGGUAACAC